rnacentral:rRNA from 1 species
AUCCUGGGCUCAGGAUGAACGCUAGCGGCAGGCUUAACACAUGCAAGUCAGGGGGCAGCGUGAGGGUUAGCAAUAACCCUUGACGGCGACCGGCGCAAGGGUGCGUAACGCGUGAGCAACUUGCCCUUAUCAGGGGGAUAACCAAUGGAAACGUUGACUAAUACCCCAUAGCAUAACCUUGAGGCAUCUCUUGGUUAUUAAAGAAUUUCGGAUAAGGAUAGGCUCGCGUGACAUUAGCUAGAUGGCGGGGUAACGGCCCACCAUGGCGACGAUGUCUAGGGGUUCUGAGAGGAAGGUCCCCCACACUGGAACUGAGACACGGUCCAGACUCCUACGGGAGGCAGCAGUGAGGAAUAUUGGUCAAUGGUCUGACGACUGAACCAGCCAUGCCGCGUGAAGGUCACGGCCCUAUGGGUCUUAAACUUCUUUUGUAAGGGAGCAAUAAGUCCUACGUGUAGGAUGAUGAGAGUACCUUACGAAUAAGCAUCGGCUAACUCCGUG